UAACUUACUUGGCGUGGGGGUCACCGUGAUCCCGAAGGCGGUGCCCCCAGGUGGAGGCCUGGCAUUGCACACCGUCGGGCUGAACCCUGCGAUUUCCCAAACGGGAAACUCGGACGCAUAAUUUUUGGUAGGAGGGGGCUGCGUUCGCGCGCCCCCUUU
rnacentral:snRNA from 1 species